UGGGGAAUAUUGGACAAUGGGCGAAAGCCUGAUCCAGCCAUGCCGCGUGUGUGAAGAAGGUCUUCGGAUUGUAAAGCACUUUAAGUUGGGAGGAAGGGCAGUAAGCGAAUACCUUGCUGUUUUGACGUUACCGACAGAAUAAGCACCGGCUAACUCCGUGCCAGCAGCCGCGGUAAUACAGAGGGUGCAAGCGUUAAUCGGAAUUACUGGGCGUAAAGCGCGCGUAGGUGGUUCGUUAAGUUGAAUGUGAAAGCCCCGGGCUCAACCUGGGAACUGCAUCCGAUACUGGCGAGCUAGAGUAGGGCAGAGGGUGGUGGAAUUUCCUGUGUAGCGGUGAGAUGCGUAGAUAUAGGGAGGAACACCAGUGGCGAAGGCGACCACCUGGGCUCAUACUGACACUGAGGUGCGAAAGCGUGGGGAGCAAACAGG
rnacentral:rRNA from 1 species